rnacentral:lncRNA from 1 species
AAUGAACCUGUUAAAAAAGUAUUACAGAAAAGAAACAAAAUCCAAUAGUUUUAUCUCUAUACUCAAAAUGGAGGUUAAAAGUUACACUAAAAAUAACACUAUUGCACCAAAGAAAGCAUCCCAUCAUAUUCUGUCAGACACAUCAGACGAGGAGGACGUGAGUGUCACCAUGGGGACACAGGAGAGAAGCUGAGACUCUCGGCACAUACAAUAUUGCCUGGUAGUAAGAAAUGGGAGGCUUCUAAUGCCAAGCAGCAGAAGGAAAAAAAAAUGAAAAAGAAGUGAAGGAAAACAGAUAAACAAAAGGCAGAGAGGUUUGCUUUGGAAAAUGGAUUGACAAGUUCUUUUCCUCAGAGUCGGAAAGUGAGUCCUCAGAGAGUGGGGAGGAUGACAGGGACUCCAUGGGGAGCUCCAGCUGCCUCAAGUGUUCCCCGCUGGUGUUGAAGGACCCCUCCCUGUUCAUCUCCCUGUCUGCCUCCUCCACCUCAUCUCAUGGGGGCUCUGCUACCCAGAAGCAGAACCCCAACAAUACAAACCAGCACACCAAGCACUGGCAGACAGACAAUUGGAAAACCAUUUCUCUCCUGGCUUGGUCAGAGGUCAGUUCUUUAUCAGAAUCCACAAGGAGGAGACUGACAAGCCAGUCUGAUUACUCCUCUGGGGGCUCCAGUGUGGAAUCGCUGAAACCAGUGAGGAAGAAGCCAGAGCACAGGAAGCUGGGCAGGCUGCAGGGCUCCCUGUCAGAGAAGAGAAGCCCCUUCCUCUCCAGCGCAGAGGGCACCGUCCCCAAGCUGAACAAGGAGGGGAAAGUUGUCAAAAAAACAUAAAACAAAACACAAACACAAAAACAAGGAGAAGGGACAGUGUUCUAUCAGCCAAGAGCUGAAAUUGGAACGUUUUACGUAUGAAUAUGAGGACUACAAGCAAAAGUCAGAUUAAGGCUAUACUUUUAGAGAAUGAUAUUUCCACUGAAAAUAAGUUAAAAGUGUUAUAGCUUGAUCGAGACCACUUUAAAAAAGAAGAGAAACUUAGCAAAAUGAUAUCAGAAGAGAAAGAAUGGCUCUUUAAAGAUGAGAUCAUUAAGGUCUCCAAAGAUGAAAAAUCACUGAAGAGAAUCAAAGGCAUGAACAAAGAUAUCAGCAGAUCUUUCCAAGAAGAGAAAGACUGUUCGAAUACAGCAGAAAAGGAGAAAUCUCUGAAGGAAAAGUCUUCAAAGGAAGAAAAACUGAGACUGUACAAAGAGGAGAGAAAGAGUAAGUGAAAAGACGGGCCGUCAAAAUUAGAGAAAAAGAAUGAUUUAAAAGAGGACAACAUUUCAAAAGAGAAGGAGAAGACUUUUAAAGAAGAUAAAGAAAAACUCAAAAAAGAAAAGGUUUAUAGGGAAGAUUCUGCUUUUGAUGAAUAUUUUAAUAAAAAUCAGUUUCUGGAGAAUGAAGACAUCAAAUUUAGCCUUUCUGACAAUCAGCCAGAUCGGUGGUUUUUUUGACUUGUCUGAUUCAUCCUUUGAUUUCAAAGUGGGAGACAGCUGGGACUCUUCAGUGACAGACUACAGGGACUUGAAGAAUAACUCUGUGGCCAAGCUGAUCUUAGAAACAGUGAAGGAGGACAGCCAGGAGAGGAAGCAGGACAGCAGGGCCCGGGAGAAGCGAGACUACAGAGAGCCCUUCUUCCAAAAGGACAAGGACUAUUUGGAUAAAAACUCUGAGAAAAGACCAGACUGAAAAGCACAAAGUGUCCCCGGCUACCUUUUGGAAAAUGACAAAAAGAGGAGAGAGAGUCCGUAGAGGCCAGCCAGGACAAAAAGGACACCCUCCAGAGCUCCAAGGAGCACAGGGACUGCAGGGCCAAGCCAGAGGAGGCACACCGCACACCGCGAGGAGCUGAAGGAGUGAGGCUACCAGAGUGUCUUCAAGGAAAAGUCUGACUGCGAUUUUGGGAAGGGCCUGGAACCGUGGGAACUGCAAGACCCAGUGCAAGAGAAGAAGGACGGCCUUGAUAAGGAAAGGAAGGAGAAAACAAAUCCAGAAAAAUACAAACAGAAGUCCAGUAACAAGGACAAAAGUGAGAAAUCUAUCCUCGAAAAAUGUCAGAAGGACAGAGAAUUUGAUAAAUGUUUUAAAGAGAAAAAAGAUACCAAGGAAUAAACACAAAUACACACAUGGCAAAGACAAAAAAAAGGAAAGUGUCUCUUGACCAAGGGAAAGAGAAAAAGGAGAAAACUUUCCCUGGGAUUAUCUCAGAAGACUUCUCUGAAAAAAAAAAUGACAAGAAAGGCAAGGAGAAAAGCUGGUACGUCGCAGACGUAUUCACAGAAGAGAGAGAGGAUGACAAAGACAACUACAUGGGGAGUAGGUUCAAGAUCGGAGAGGCCAGCGACUUACAGAGGAUGGAUGACCUCUAGGAGAAGGACGAAGGGCGGGAGGCCUAUGCCUCUGACAGACACAGGAAGUCCUCUUCUGAUGAGCAGCACCCAAGAGGCAAAAGGACAAGGAGCCCAAAGACAAGAGAAAGGACACAGGGGCUGCUGACGGUGUGACAGAUAAAAAAGAGAAAGUCCUUGAAAAGCACAAGGAGAAGAAGGUUAAAGAGUACCAGAAAAGUAUAAGAACAGGACGGAAAGAGCUUCAGUGGACUCCACACAAGAUAAGAAAAAUAAACAGAAGCUCCCUGAGAAGGCUGAAAAGAAACAGUCUGCUGAAGACAAGGCUAACAGCAAACACAAAGAGAAGUCAGAUAAAGAAUAUUCCAAGGAGAGGAAGUCCUUGAGAAGUGCUGACAUGGAAAAAAGCCUGCUUGAAAAGUUGGAAGAAGCUCUCCAUGAGUACAGAGACGACUCCAGUGAUAAAAUCAGUGAGGUCUCCUCUGACAGCUGCACAGACUGAGGGCAGGAGCCAGGGAUGACUGCCUUCCUGGAGAUCUCUCUCAAGCAGCCACCCAUGUAGGAGGAGGCCAGGGAGAGCGCCUGCCUCCCGGAGAAGCUGAAAGAGAAGGAGAGGCACAGACACUCCUCAUCCUCAUCCAAGUAGAGCCACUACUGAGAGAGACAGCCAAGAAAGAAAAGUCCCAGAAGAGAAGGGCAGAGAUUACAAGGAGGGCGGCAGCAGGAAGGACACCGGCCAGUAUGAAAAGGACUUCCUGGAGAUGGUUGCUUAUGGAGUUUCUUACAACAUGAAAGCUGUCAUAGAAGAUAGGCUAAAUAAAACCGUUGAAUUAUUUUCUACCGAAAAGAAAGAUAAAAAUGAUUCAGAGAGAGAAACUUCCAAGAAAAUAGAAAAGGAACUAAAGCCUUAUGGAUCUAGUACCAUCAACAUCCUAAAAGUGAAGAAUAAGAGAGAGAAACAAAGGGAGAAAUUGACAGACGAGAAGAGGAAGAACCGGAACAGGCAUGCAGACUGGCUCCUGCGGCAUCACAGGGACCAAGCAGAAGCCCACUGCCAGGGACAAGGACAGCCCUCCCCGUGCACUCAAAGACAAGUCCAGGGAUGAGGACCCGAGGCUCAGGAAGGCCAAACUGAAGGAGAAAUUCAAGGACAGUGCAGAAAAAGAAAAGGACGACUCUGUGAAGAUGAGCAAAGGGGAUGAUAAAGUAUCGCCAUCCAAAGACCCAGGCAAGAAAAAUGCCAGGCCCAGGGAAAAGCUCCGGGGGGAUGGCGACAUGAUGAUAAUCAGCUUCCAGAGGAUGUUCUCCCAGAAGGACCUGGAGAUCGAGGAGCGCCACAAGGGGCACAAGGAGAGGAUGAAGCAGAUGGAGAAGCUGAGGCACCAGUCCAGAGACCCCAACCUCAAGGAGAGGGCGAAGCCAGCAGACGACGGGCGGAAGAAGGGUCUGGAAAUUCCUGCCAAGAAACCUCCGGGGCUGGACCCUCCCUUUAAAGACAAAAAGCUCAAGGAGUUGACUCCUAUUCCACCUGCUGCCGAAAAUAAGCCACGCCCAGGAUCAGGUGCAGACUCCAAAGACUGGCUCGCAGGGCCUCACAUGAAAGAGGUCCUACCUGCAUCUCCUAGGCCUGACCAGAGCCGACCGGUGUGCCCACCCCUACGUCGGUGCUGUCCUGCCUCAGCUACGAGGAGGUGAUGCACACGCCCAGGACCCCGUCCUGCAGCACCGAUGACUACACGGACCUUGUGUUCGACUGCGCCCACUCCCCGCCCUCCACGCCCGUGCCCACUGCUCCCUCCAGUGCCUGCCUGCCUCCUUUUUUGACAGGUUCUCCGCGGCAUCAAGUGGGCUUUUGGAAAACGCCAGCCAGGCUCCUGCCAAGCCUCUCUCCAUAAACUUUUACCGCUAGGUCUCUGCUGAUAUUAGGAGGACUCCCUAGGAGGAAUUCAGCUUGGAAGACAAGCUCCUCAGGCAGCAGAACGUUCCUGCCGCCUCCAGCUACGACUUUACCCUGCCGCACUAGACGGAAGACAGGGCGCCCCUGCCCCCGGUUCCCGUGGAGAAGUUUGCUUGCUUGUCCCCAGGGUAAUAUUCCACAGACUAUGGCCUCCCCUCGCCCAAAGUCGAUGCUCUACCACUGUCACUGUCACCCCGUCUCCAGAGGGCGUCUUCUCAAAUUUACAAGCAAAACCUUCCCCUUCCCCCAGAGAUAAGCUGCUGGUUCCUUCCCUCGAAGGGGCCAUUCCCCCGCACCUGGACGCCACCGAGGACCAGCAGGCUACAGCCCCCAUCAUCCCCCCGGAGCCCAGCUACCUGGAGCCGCUGGAAGAGGGUCAGCACCGUCAUCACUGAGGAGCCUGUCGAGUGGGCCCACCCCGCCGAGCAGGCCCUCGCUUCCAGCCUGAUCGGGAGCGCCUCUGAAAACCCUGUCAGCUGGCCUGUGGGCUCAGAACUCCUGCUGAAGUCUCCACAGAGAUUUCCUGAGUCCCCAGAAUACUUCUGCUCCGCGGACUCCCUCCACUCUGCAGCCCCAGGGCCCUUCAGCGCCUCAGAGGUGCCAUACCCGCCCCCCCCUUUCCGCCUCUCUCUCCCAGAACACUCUGCUCAUCGCUGAGCCAGGACUGGAGGAUGUCAAAGACAGGGUGGAAGCCAUCCCCGCCACCAUCUCUACCUCAGAGGCGGCUCCUUACGCCCCUCCCUCCGGGCUGGAAUCCUUCUUCAACAACUGCAAGUCACUUCCGGAAUCUCUGCUGGACAUGGCCCCUGAGGCCUGUAACCACUGUGGCUCAGGUGGAGGCUCUGGAACCCCUGGAAAAUAGCCUCCUGGACAACAGCCACAGCCUGUCUACCCUCCGCCAGGUGGAGCCGAUGCCCUGGGCAGACGCCUUCGCCGGCUCCGAGGACGACCUGGACCUGGGGUCCUUCUCACUGCCGGAGCUUCCCUUGCAGACUAAAGAUGUCCCAGAUGUUGAAACAGAACCCACAGAAGAAAGUCUUGCUCCUUCAGAAAAGAUCCCUCCAGGGGCCCCUGUGGUCGUAAGGGUGGGGAUGUUUCCGCUUUAGUGGCUAAGGAGCAGCCGUCACUGCCUCCUGACCAGGCCUCCACCCAGCUCCCCACAGAGCUCGAGCCUGAGCCCUCAGAGGAGCCAAAGCUGGACGUGGCUCUAGAAGCUACGGAGGCAGAAGCAGUGCCAGAAGAGAGGGCCUCUGGGGAUCUGGACUCCAGCAUGGAGCCCACACCCGUUCGCCCUGAACAGUGCCAACUGGGAAGCAGAGACCAGGGGGCCGAGGCUGAACACCUCCUACCCCCUGCCGCAUCCCUCUGUGCCCCCGACACCCCUUGCCCCCCAUGGACACUGUGGCACAAGCCCAGGCUGCGGACAGUGCUGGCCCCCACGACAACACUGCGGCCUCCCGUGCUGCCGCCCCAGCCGAAGGCCCUCCCUGCGGCAUCGACCCAGAAGCCACAGAAUCAGAACCAAAACCCACGGCCGAAGCCCCGAAAGCCCCCAGAGUGGGGUAGAUCCCUCACUGCAUCACCAGGAACCGGCAGAUGCUCGUGAACGAGAGCAAGUAGGGCACACCUCACUCCAAGGAGUGUGCCUCAGGCCCGCGGCUCGGAGGAGGACUACGCCCAGCCCAGCAUCCGCGCAAACGCCACUUCCAGCACUCCACCCAGCAGCUGAACACGUCCACGCAGCAGACGCGGGAGGUGAUCCAGCAGACGCUGGCCACCAUCGUGGACGCCAUCAAGCUGGACGCCAUCUACCCCUACCACAGCGACAGGGCCAACCCCUACUUCGAAUUCCUGCACAUCAGGAAGAAGAUCGAGGAGAAGCGCAAGAUUCUGUGCUGCAUCACGCCACAGGCGACCCAGUGGUACGCCGAAUACGUCACCUACACGGGCUCCUAUCUCCUGGACGGCAAGUCUCUCAGCAAGCUCCACAUGCCCAUGAUCGCACCCCCUCCCUCGCUGGUGGAGUCCCUGAACUAGCUGUUCAGGCAGCAGGAGCCGGUCCGGGAAAAGCUACGUCUGCAGCACAGCAUCGAGCAGUAGAAGCUGAUAUGUCCUAUGAGCAGGAGAUUCUGCAGGUUCACUGCUGGGCAGCCAGGAUCAUCGCCAACCAGGCAGUGCCAUUCAGCGCCUGCACGAUGCUGCUGGACUCUGAGGUUUAAAACAUGCCCCUAGAGAGCCAGCGCGACGAGAACAAGUCAGUGCGCGACCGGCUCAACACCAGCCAGUUCAUCUCCUGGCUCCAUGACUUGGACCACAAGUACAACCGCAUGAAGACCUGCUCACGUGGCAGCAGCACGAGGCCGCGGCCCUAAACGCCAUGCAGAGGAUGGAGUGGCAGCUGAAAGUGCAGAAGCUGGACCCCGCUGGGCACUAGUCCCUGUGCGUGAACGACGUGCCCUCCUUCUACGUGCCCAUGGUCGACGUCAACGACGACUUUAUGUUGUUGCCGCG